ACUAAAUAAAAUAAAUGUGCAUGUUGCUGGAGUGGAGACUCUUAAAGUGGUUAGACAAGUUUUUCCACUUCUUUGACUGUUGGACUAGUGUAGACACUUCCGUAUACAAGAACAGAGUAGCCAGCAAAAGCCAGCCAGUGCAUUAAAAAUGUGAUCAAGUUUGGUGACAAAAGAUAACCAAGCAUCUUAUUGUGUUUCUUCGUUGUGCACACUGUUCAAGAAAGUAGGCCUACACAUACACAGUGACAUUUCCUGCCCUUAAGGGUGUGACAGAUACUGAUGUAACCCAACUGUUGCAGUCUUUUUGUCUGUAAUGUUCGCUGAUCAUAAAACACACCUGAAACCUAAUGUGACCUUUUCGGAAAGUCAAAAGGUUUAAUCCUGUAAUUGUGAUAUUGUGUCUGUAAAGGAAAUACAUCUCACAGAGGAUUCCAUUCAUUAUCUGCAAGUAGAUAGUGCAAAUAGUUGACAGCAAGACUAUCUUUCUACCAGAAAGAUAUCAUUUUUAAAAGUUAAAAUGUGGCUCGAAAUUUAAUUGCAUGUGUUAUGUAUUGGGGGUUGCUCAGACCUACACAAGAGCAGACAGCCCACUGUCACACAUACAAACAUCCUCCAUCCAUAAGGGGCGCCAGCUACUUCCGAUCUUAUGGUGUGAUUGACUAUAAGACGUGCGGAAUGGCAGUCAAUCGGGGAAGGCUCAGUGAACUGGGGAACUCAGCUGCUGGGCCGAGGCGGUGAACCUCCCAGCUGCUUCUCCGUGUGAUAUAUGAACUGUGCACUUGGACUGAUAUUCUGUUUGGUUUAGUGGUGGUUUGGUUUCAUUUGGGGCCCGUUUUCGUUUGUUUUUUUGGUUGUUUCCGUCCUGCAUCACCGUGGGGUUUCCCGCACGGUGGACACCAAGCGCGAGCUGGACGCCUUGGAGAGGCAAGAACGAGGUGGCCCGACGAAAAGAUGUAGUUCUGCUGAAAACUGAAGAAGGGCAGCCCUCAGGUCAAUGGUCCCAAACAAAGCAGCAGAAGAAAUCCGCUACGUGCCAAAACCGGACUUGACAAUUCCAGGCCUCAUGACCCCACAGCAUGGCAUGACAGACAAAAAGAUGGAGCUCUUCACCUCUGGGAAUAUUUCAUUCAGCAUGCAAACAGAGAGAAUGGGCUACUAUUUGGGAGAAAGCAUUAAGGUUGUGUUAGAGGUUCAGAACAGCUCGUCUCGCGCCCUCAAACCCAAGUACAGUCUCUACGAGAAGCUCACUUACUAUGCAUCUGGCUGAAGUGAGGUAGGCACCCAUGUGAUACAGAAAGAUGAUGGAGAGCCCAUUCCACCUGACACAAAACAAACCCUCACCAAAGUCCUCACCAUCCCAACAAGUGCCAACGUAUACAUCCUUAACUGUAGGUCUUGAAAGUUGAGCAUAACCUCAAGGUCUAUCUUGAUGUACCUUAUGCCGCUGACCCAGAGAUUGUGGUUCCAAUUGUCAUUCUGCCGAAUCUCCUAACCAGGGACCUGUCAGCUCCUCCACAACCCAAUACUGGGUUUGAGGGUCAUUCCAACCCAGGCCAAGCAGGAUGGGUCAGCACUCCCUACACUGCUCCUCCACCUGCCUAUGCAUCCUAAGGGGGCUUAUCCCCCAUAUCCGAAUUAACCUUGAAAAUCUUAAAGAUUUAGCAUGCUGGAUAAACACUUGGCAUUGUGAAUAUUUCCAUUAUCAGUUAUCCUAUUUUCUUCCAUAUCAUGGGUUGAUGAAGGUUGUACAUUUUGAUAAGACUAACUAAAGUUAUAUAUGAACCA